rnacentral:rRNA from 1 species
UAAUACGUAGGUGGCAAGCGUUGUCCGGAAUUAUUGGGCGUAAAGGGCUCGCAGGCGGUUUCUUAAGUCUGAUGUGAAAGCCCCCGGCUCAACCGGGGAGGGUCAUUGGAAACUGGGAAACUUGAGUGCAGAAGAGGAGAGUGGAAUUCCACGUGUAGCGGUGAAAUGCGUAGAGAUGUGGAGGAACACCAGUGGCGAAGGCGACUCUCUGGUCUGUAACUGACGCUGAGGAGCGAAAGCGUGGGGAGCGAACAGGAUUAGAUACCCUGGUAGUCCACGCCGUAAACGAUGAGUGCUAAGUGUUAGGGGGUUUCCGCCCCUUAGUGCUGCAGCUAACGCAUUAAGCACUCCGCCUGGGGAGUACGGUCGCAAGACUGAA